CAGCCGCCACGGGAAUACGAAGGGUGCAAGCGUUACUCGGAAUUACUGGGUGUAAAGCGUGCGUAGGUGGUGGUUUAAGUCCGUUGUGAAAGCCCUGGGCUCAACCUGGGAAUUGCAGUGGAUACUGGGUCACUAGAGUGUGGUAGAGGAUAGUGGAAUUUCCGGUGUAGCAGUGAAAUGCGUAGAGACCGGAAGGAACAUCUGUGGCGAAGGCGACUAUCUGGGCCAACACUGACACUGAGGCACGGAAGCGUGGGGAGCAAACAGGAUUAGAUACCCGUGUAGUCCCUGUCUCUUAUAC
rnacentral:rRNA from 1 species